GAUUCCGGCCGAAGCCCGGGACCGCUGCAGCGCGCAGUCUCCCCGCGCCGCGCGGGCGGAGGAGAACCCGGGGGCGCAAAGCCUCUAGAGCACAGGAAUGGGUAGCCUGGAGGGAGAGGAGGUGGGGGUGGCAGAGAUGGGGGCUCACGGGCGGCGGGAAUCCCUCCUUCCCUAAGAGCUAGAGGAGAUCCGGGGGAGUCUGGGCCCUUCCCACCCAAUGUUCUCCUCCAAACUGAGGGGAGGGAAGAGGGAGUGAGGUUGUCAUCCACCCCCAUCACAAUGCGCAGCUAGGGAGUUCCUCCCACGCGUCCCCCGGCCCCGCAUGGACCUCCCACGGCGUGAGGCCCGGGGAUCCUCUCUUCCUUCUUGUCAACACUCCCACUCCCCCUGAGAGAUGCAAGUUCCCCCAACCCCGACUCUCCAGCGGGGGCCGCGGGAUUCACCGCGCCCACGCGGCCACUGAGGAGGGAAUCCUCCCCCGCCAACCCGGUGUGAUUCGGGGUCGCGCCUCCGUGCUCCCUCCCUCUCCUCCCCCUCGCUCUCAGCCAGGCUGCGCGCUUCAGGAGCAGGCCUCGGGGAACACAUCACCCACCCCCGGGAUCCGCUGUCGAGGUGACAGCACCCUGGGUCGGCACAGGGGGCCGCCCUUGACUGCAAGGCACCCUCAGGCAGCAAUGAGGACAACCCUGCGGGAGACAGAGAGUAGAGACUGGAGGAGACCGCCUUGGUGGCUUAGAAUCUGUGGGUUUCACAUCUUCCCGCAGUAACUCAGCCGCAAGCCCUUCGCCGGCUGCAGUAGAUAGCGACUGUGCCCCGGCCUGCUGGGCCCUCCUGCCAUCCUGUGGCCAAAGGGGUUUGCUUUAGAACCGUUAGGGAAUUUAUCUGGGAAUUAUUUGGUGCACGUGUUUUCUAUCCCCUAAACUUCACUCUUUCCUAAUCUCCACAACAACAACAACAACAACAAAACCCUCAUACCCUCGCCCCUAAAAGUUCUUGCCCACUGCGCAACUAGCUAAUCCGCUACACAUUCCCGGGCCACUGCGCUCAACUGAGAGUCAGCGCGGGGUCAGGAACCCCAAGGGAGGGGCCGGGGCUGCGGGCGGUGAAUCAGAAUGAUGUCCGCACGAAAGUUCUAAGUGUCCAAGAAUAAGAAGCCUUAGGACAUUAGAACCCCUUCCCCAAAGGAAAAUACUUCAUCUCUCCAUCUGAAUCCAGUCAAGGAUAAGAAGGAAAGACAGAAGUUGUGUGGGGGAGCCUGGCUUGAAGCGGUCACCUCUCCCAUUCCUAGACUGCUAAGGAACCUGUGUCCUGGUGUACUGAACUCUUUCUAAAUGCUGGGAGUGCUGGAGACCAAUUGCAAACAACUCCACUCCUCCAACGACUAAAUUCUGUCUCUAAUGCUGUCCUCAAAUAAAAACCUACAUG
rnacentral:lncRNA from 1 species